GGUAGUCCACGCUGUAAACGAUGUCGAUUUGAAGGUUGUUCCCUAGAGGAGUGGCUUUCGGAGCUAACGCGUUAAAUCGACCGCCUGGGGAGUACGGCCGCAAGGUUAAAACUCAAAUGAAUUGACGGGGGCCCGCACAAGCGGUGGAGCAUGUGGUUUAAUUCGAUGCAACGCGAAGAACCUUACCUACUCUUGACAUCCAGAGAAUUUAGCAGAGAUGCUUUAGUGCCUUCGGGAACUCUGAGACAGGUGCUGCAUGGCUGUCGUCAG
rnacentral:rRNA from 1 species